rnacentral:lncRNA from 1 species
AUCAUCUCAGCCAUUUUCAAGGCAGGAACUGGUUCAGAGAAUAAAAUCUUUUAACGCAGACGUUCAAGACACCCUUAAGAGUAAGAUCAGGAAGCUGACAUAAUGGAGAUGUGCAUAUCUGAAUUGUUGCCUCGACCUUCACCGUGAAAGGAAAUUGUCUGGGAGCAGGCUGCUUCCUGCUACAAUUACCAGUAGUGGGCAAACAGAGAGAAGGAAAGGCGAAGGCUGAGGGGAGAAGGAAACUGCUAAGCUGCCCCC